rnacentral:rRNA from 1 species
CAGCCGCCGCGGGAAUACGGAGGGUGCAAGCGUUAAUCGGAAUUACUGGGCGUAAAGCGCACGCAGGCGGUCUGUCAAGUCAGAUGUGAAAUCCCCGGGCUUAACCUGGGAACUGCAUUUGAAACUGGCAGGCUAGAGUCUUGUAGAGGGGGGUAGAAUUCCAGGUGUAGCGGUGAAAUGCGUAGAGAUCUGGAGGAAUACCGGUGGCGAAGGCGGCCCCCUGGACAAAGACUGACGCUCAGGUGCGAAAGCGUGGGGAGCAAACAGGAUUAGAGACCCCAGUAGUCCCUGUCUCUUAUAA